rnacentral:rRNA from 1 species
AUUGAACGCUGGCGGCAUGCCUUACACAUGCAAGUCGAACGGUAACGCGGGGCAACCUGGCGACGAGUGGCGAACGGGUGAGUAAUGCAUCAGAACGUGCCCAGUAGUGGGGGAUAGCCCGGCGAAAGCCGGAUUAAUACCGCAUACGACCUACGGGUGAAAGCGGGGGACCGUAAGGCCUCGCGCUAUUGGAGCGGCCGAUGUCAGAUUAGGUUGUUGGUGGGGUAAAAGCCUACCAAGCCGACUAUCUGUAGCUGGUCUGAGAGGACGACCAGCCACACUGGGACUGAGACACGGCCCAGACUCCUACGGGAGGCAGCAGUGGGGAAUUUUGGACAAUGGGGGCAACCCUGAUCCAGCCAUGCCGCGUGCGGGAAGAAGGCCUUCGGGUUGUAAACCGCUUUUGUCAGGGAAGAAACGCUCUGGGCUAAUACCCCGGGGUAAUGACGGUACCUGAAGAAUAAGCACCGGCUAACUACGUGCCAGCCGCCGCAGUAAUAC